GCUUUACACAUGCAAGUCGAACGGUAACAGGGAGCUUGCUCCGCUGACGAGUGGCGAACGGGUGAGUAAUAUAUCGGAACGUACCCAAGAGUGGGGGAUAACGUAGCGAAAGUUACGCUAAUACCGCAUACGAUCUAUGGAUGAAAGCAGGGGACCUUCGGGCCUUGUGCUCCUGGAGCGGCCGAUAUCUGAUUAGCUAGUUGGUGAGGUAAAGGCUCACCAAGGCGACGAUCAGUAGCUGGUCUGAGAGGACGACCAGCCACACUGGAACUGAGACACGGUCCAGACUCCUACGGGAGGCAGCAGUGGGGAAUUUUGGACAAUGGGCGCAAGCCUGAUCCAGCAAUGCCGCGUGAGUGAAGAAGGCCUUCGGGUUGUAAAGCUCUUUUGUCAGGGAAGAAACGGCUGUGGCUAAUAUCCACGGCUAAUGACGGUACCUGAAGAAUAAGCACCGGCUAACUACGUGCCAGCAGCCGCGGUAAUACGUAGGGUGCAACCGUUAAUCGGAAUUACUGGGCGUAAAGCGUGCGCAGGCGGUUUUGUAAGUCUGUCGUGAAAUCCCCGGGCUCAACCUGGGAAUUGCGAUGGAGACUGCAAGGCUAGAAUCUGGCAGAGGGGGGUAGAAUUCCACGUGUAGCAGUGAAAUGCGUAGAGAUGUGGAGGAACACCGAUGGCGAAGGCAGCCCCCUGGGUCAAGAUUGACGCUCAUGCACGAAAGCGUGGGGAGCAAACAGGAUUAGAUACCCUGGUAGUCCACGCCCUAAACGAUGUCUACUAGUUGUCGGGUUUUAAUUAACUUGGUAACGCAGCUAACGCGUGAAGUAGACCGCCUGGGGAGUACGGUCGCAAGAUUAAAACUCAAAGGAAUUGACGGGGACCCGCACAAGCGGUGGAUGAUGUGGAUUAAUUCGA
rnacentral:rRNA from 1 species